CGGUUUUGUUUUCUUUCUUUUUGCUACAUGGUAACUGAGGAAGUGUCUCUUCUAAAACAGGGCUACAGCCAUUCAGUAUUGUCAAGGUUAGAGUUCUUGUAAGGUAUUGUAGGAAGGAUAAUGUAUGGUGUGAUGUAGCAGCUAGGAGCUCUCUAGUACAGCCAGAAUAUCAAGUGCUUUUUCAAACAGAUGCAAACUGGCCAAAUCAGUAAAGACGUAGUUUACAUAAAGACAUAGGUUACACAGAGUAGGUCAAUAGUUAACAUAGAGUAGUUUUGGGAACUGUGUAGAACUGUGUAGAAUUGUGCACUGACAGAAACUACCAAUAGUAAUGUAUACAUUAAUUUCAAUUAGACCUGAGGGUUAUGCUCAUUAUAGAAUUUUUAAUUCUUCUUCUUCCUCUUUUUAUUAUUAUUAUUAUUAUUAUUAUUAGUAGUAGUAGUAGUAGAAGUAGUAGUAGUAGUAGUAGUAGUAGUAGUAGUAGUAGUAGUAUUCCUGAUCACCUUACUCAUCGUAAUACUCAUUUAUUGUAGUAUAUCUCUGUUCCAAAGUCCUUUUCUAUCUACUAAUAAUUACCAAUGAUGGGCUUGAUUACUCUCAGGUGGGGUUUUUUGCCUGUGGUGUACAGACAGUUUGACAAAACUGUUAAAGAUAUUGUCUCCUAGCAAUGAAAGCAGUGACUCAGCAGGUCUGUCAGGGAAGAUGGACAAGCUAAAACAGAUGAAGCAAGCCAGGGCGCAGGUUUGCAUGCAGCUGCACUGCUUCCUGGGUCGGCACAUCUGGUCACUCUCACCUGGCAGUUCUGGAAUAGGACUUCAGACAGUAGGAGAGUUGUGUGCCCAAACACAAGGCUAUACAAUUCCAGAAAAACACAAAAACAUAAGGUGCCACACUCCAUCAUAUAUGAUUGGUCCAAGCUUCACUGACUGCUUGGAUAUUUGGAGAAAUGCUUUGAGUCACAGAUACUCCGGGUCUCAUGCUUUCAGACAAAGAUCUUUCAAAUGUUACAGGACCUUUUGAAGUGAUUUCAGAUUAAUUUCACAGAUGAUACAGCUCAGAGUUUGGGUUAUCAUAUUGCAAUGCAGUAAAAAAAGGAAAAUUUGGCACAAAUAAAAGAUUGAUAGGUUAGUUGUUGGAUUGAGACGAACUCAACACUACAUGGUAUUGGAGAAAAAGUGGUGCUGAGAGGCAUGGCAGCCCUUGGGGUGAGAGGGCCUGGGCCAGAGGUCAUGGCAGGGCUCUUUCUGCACUGCAGUACAGCCCUCUUGCUCUAGAGGCCCAGACUGAUUACCGCACUGGGACUCAGCCACAGAGUGUUUUCAUUAGGGAGAGGUCCAAGCUCAUACAGGAAGGUUCUGGACCAUUAAUACAUUUGAAACGGCAAAUGAAAGGGGGCUGGCAGGCUUGCGAGGGGAGUCAUGGGUUAUUUUGAAAUGGGAGAACCCUGUGGAACAGUCAUGAGAGCCUCUGUGAAUAAAUACCAAGAUCAUCUUAACCCAGACUUUUUUUUUUCCUCCUGUAAGCUCUGUAGCCAAUUUUCCUGCAAUUUACAAUAAAUUGUUUGUGAAAUCCUUGUCCAUUCUAUUCUGAAGAAUCAAUGCACAAAAACGUGGAGAGAUCUGCUUUAGUAAACUGAGAGAAAGAGUGUUAUGUGUAUAUACUGUAGGUCAUAGCAAAAAUUCCAGAGUAAAAUCUUUGUUUACAGAGAAAUGUAUGGCUUAACAAUGUCAUUUGAAACACCGCUGUUCAUAGUUGUGUCAAUACACAGUUGUUGUUCAUUAUUAUUGAGUCAUUUCUGCUUAUGUUAUAUGUAGGUCUUGAAACACUUACUGAAAAUACUACUGAAGGUGUAAAAUACAGGGUGAAGGCAACAAAAAUAGGUUUAUUUAGGUUAUACCACAGCACUGACAAAUUCUUGAUCCUGAUUGAACACAAGAUUAAUUUUAUGUAACAGCAGCUUGGACAGAAAUGCUAGCUGCAAGAUAAGUUGCAGGUUUAUAUUAAUUUGCACAUUCUAAUGCAUUAUGGUUACACAUGGACUUAUCUUUUUUUAAUUGUUGGUAAUGUUUUCUGUGAGAACACAUUUAUUUAUUUAUUUAUUUAUUUAUUUAUUUAGUAAGGAGACUCCAGUGUCACUGUUUUGUUAAAGCCAGUCUGUACAGGAUUUCGCAGGGGUUGUUUUGUGACUGUUACGGCCAGAAAUGCUCGAUUUUGCUGCAGGAUUUAUCAGAAUUGAUCAGAGGUUUUGUGCUCUUUUUUUACGACAACUUUUCGAAUUGGCGAAAUUGUUUUGCACAGGCUUUGAUUUGCGCAUUUUGUUUGUCGGUACCUUCUAGCUGUGCUCAUGUUUGAUGAACGUGAAUCGAAGAGGUCUUUGGCUUAACGCAUGUUGUGAUGACGUCACAUGACAAGUCUUGGACAAAUGCUGCGUAAAAUGUGUGGUAAUUUUGAAAAGUUGCAAGCUCCUCCGAAUAUUGCGGCGUUUGCUUGAUUUUGCAUUCAUUUCUGCGAUCGCGAAAUCACUCAAUCCUGAGGGGACUGUAAAACUAUUAAAGCUGUUACUAUACAUUUUGUGUUACAGGAGAGUCUUUGUGCUUUCUCUGUAACAUGACAAGUGGCAUUUUUCUUUGUUGUUUUAUUAGUUUCUAGAAAGAGAGAAAAGAAGCUGGUCAGGACGUUUAUAGCUGCUAUAAAAUAAGUGAUAACAGGGACAUGGGAACUUGUUUCAUGGUGUUAAACGACAUUAGACAUAACUAUAAAUUGCUAAAACAUGCAGUAUUGUUGACAAAUUGCUGUGGUAUAAGAGGAAUAAAACAUUGCGUGGAAUGCUGUUAUUGGAAAAUACUCAGUUUCAGGAUGCUUUUGCAUAGGGUUUGCAUGACUCUGUCUUGCAUAGAGCUGCAUCACACCACCCCCCGUCAUUGAUUAAUGUUUACAUGAGUAGUUAAGAUUAUUCUAUAACUCACAAUCAUUAUCAAGAACAAAUAGCACACCCAAAAACAUGUUUAAAAGUUGUUUGCUUCUUUGAACACAGUGCUAUUUUCAUGGUUAUUCUUUGUAAAUGCAAAUUUAUUAGAUUACUGCAAAGUACCCCUCGUUAUUUGGGAUCUUCAUAUAAAUCAGAGCCUACUGUACAUGUUUCGUUUUUUUUAAUUAUGGAAGAACAAAGGACGUCCGUUUGUGACUUCUCUUCCUGUGUUGUUUGGAAGUGUGUAAUACGUCCCUCCUUGUGGCUUCACCAAAGGUAUGUAUUACCAGCACCCAGAACCACUGUACAUCAGAUAAAAUUCUCAGGUCAGUUUCAGAACCUCUUAAUAUUUCACCUUGCACGGUUGUAAAAUGACUUGUAUUGAUUUCUCAUUUCUUAUUUAUGCUGUCUGGUGCCAGAGCAAAGCGCUAAUCACAUACCUUCAUUUCAGCUUCAUGGCUUUAAUGGGAUACUGUAGUGUUUAUUAUUUGAUCUGUCCUAAUACAGAUGUUGAAGGAGCCAUUUUGAAUUCGUAACAGUCUCAUCGGUAUAAAUAAUACAUAUUAUCACUAGAAUCUGUAUCAUAACAUAAGGCCUGGAUUUUUAGUGUGUGUUUUUGUUUUUUUGUUGUUUUUUUUAGCUGUGCCUCACAGUCAUUCCUUUGUCAUUUCACCCUAGAGGAACAUUGUGACAGAUAAUAUGAAUAAAGCCCUUCUCAUCCUCACAUCAAGCUUUUUUUCAGUCUAUGAAAGGCAGAGGAAGGAGGGGAAAAAAAUCAAAUCAAUUCAACUUUUGAACAGAACAUAAUUUGGUCAACAGUUAAUAACUUUGGUGGCAGCAGCCUUGUGAAAUCUCUUUUGUGAGGAGAAAAGGCGGAGGGCUUUUUUAUGAGCAGCCAUUUCUCUUGCACCAGGUUUUUGUUUACACUUUCAUUAUAUCUCUACUACAUUAUCUGAUGCCUCCAUCCCGUUUUCAAUCUCGCUCUCGCUCGGUUUUAAUCUCGGCCCUUUCUUUGACUGCUCUCCGCACACUGAGGCAAGAGAGGAGAGAGGUUGUAUUACUGCUCAUGAAUCAAAGCAAAAUGAAAUGCACUCUCCAGUCCUUUCCACGUGGUUUUAAUUUAUAGCAGGGGACUGCAGAUGCAAAAAAAAAAAAAAAAAAAGGAAGGAAAAAAAAAGAAAAGCUUUUAAUGUAAUCUGACCACUUAAUUCAGUACUUAAUUUAUGAGCCAAGUCUGAUGUAAGG
ensembl:lncRNA